rnacentral:rRNA from 1 species
CGCCUAUUAGCUAGCUCCACACACCAAACGCAACAAACAAACAUAAACUAAACCCAAAAACACCAGAUUAUCCUUAACCAAAGCAUUUUCCCUCCUAAGUAUGGGCGACAGAAAAGGACCUCAAGGACGCAAUAGAGAAAGUACCGCAAGGGAAAGCUGAAAGAGAAAUGAAAUAAACCAGUAAAGCCAAAAAAAGCAGAGAUAUCCCCUCGUACCUUUUGCAUCAUGAUUUAGCCAGCAUCUUCAAGCAAAAAGAGUUUUAGUUUGAAAUCCCGAAACUGCGUGAGCUACUCCAAGACAGCCUAUUUAUUAGGGCAAACCCGUCUCUGUGGCAAAAGAGUGGGAAGAGCUUUGAGUAGGGGUGACAGACCUAUCGAACCCAGUUAUAGCUGGUUGCCCGGGAAUUGGAUAGAAGUUCAGCCUCGCCGUUUCUCCCUUCAUAUUAUUUUUAACCACCCAAUGAUUCCAGAGAAACUACGAGAGUUAGUCAAAGGGGGUACAGCCCCUUUGAACAAAGACACAACUUUUUCAGGAGGAUAAAGAUCAUAGUUUUUAAGGCAAAAUGUUCCGGUGGGCCUAAAAGCAGCCAUCCCAGUAGAAAGCGUUAAAGCUCGAACAUAACUUGACCCUCCCCAUAUCUUGAUAUUUAUAUCUCAAUCCCCUAACACUACCGGGCCUCCCCAUGCUUCCAUGGGGGCGACCCUGCUAGAAUGAGUAAUAAGAGAGCCCGACUCUCUCCCAACACACGUGUAUAUCGGAACGGACCCACCACCGAAAAAUAACGGCCCCAAACAAAGAGGGCACUGGACCUAUACGCAAACAAACUAGAAGAUCGUCCUAAUACAACCGUUAACCCCACACUGGUGUGCUUCCUGGGAAAGACCAAAAGAAAGAGAAGGAACUCGGCAAACAUAAACUUAUAAGCCUCGCCUGUUUACCAAAAACAUCGCCUCUUGCAAAACCAAAGAAUAAGAGGUCCCGCCUGCCCAGUGACAAUAGUUCAACGGCCGCGGUAUUUUGACCGUGCGAAGGUAGCGUAAUCACUUGUCUUUUAAAUGAAGACCUGUAUGAAUGGCAUAACGAGGGCUUAACUGUCUCCUCUUUCCAGUCAAUGAAAUUGAUCUCUCCGUGCAGAAGCGGAGAUAAGUACAUAAGACGAGAAGACCCUAUGGAGCUUUAGACACUAAGACAGAUCAUGUUAAACAUCCCGCAAAUGACGGCCUAAACUUAAUGAUACCCUGUCCUAAUGUCUUCGGUUGGGGCGACCAUGGGGAAGCACAAAUCCCCCAUGUGGAAUAGGAGGACAAUCCCAUAUUAUUUUCCUCUCCUCCCACAAGCAAGAGCUACAACUCUAGCUAACAGAACAUUUGACCUUACAUGAUCCGGCUCACGCCGAUCAACGGACCAAGUUACCCUAGGGAUAACAGCGCAAUCCCCUUUUAGAGCCCAUAUCGACAAGGGGGUUUACGACCUCGAUGUUGGAUCAGGACAUCCUAAUGGUGCAGCCGCUAUUAAGGGUUCGUUUGUUCAACGAUUAAAGUCCUACGUGAUCUGAGUUCAGACCGGAGUAAUCCAGGUCAGUUUCUAUCUAUGAAGUGAUCUUUUCUAGUACGAAAGGACCGAAAAGAAGAGGCCCAUGCCCUAAGCACGCCUCCCCCUUACCUAAUGAAAGAAUCUAAACUAGGCAAAAGGGCACGUCCCUCUGCCUAAGAGAAUGGCAU